rnacentral:rRNA from 1 species
GACGAACGCUGGCGGCGUGCCUAAUACAUGCAAGUAGGACGCUGAAGGAGGAGCUUGCUUCUCUGGAUGAGUUGCGAACGGGUGAGUAACGCGUAGGUAACCUGCCUGGUAGCGGGGGAUAACUAUUGGAAACGAUAGCUAAUACCGCAUAAUAGUAGAUGUUGCAUGACAUUUGCUUAAAAGGUGCAAUUGCAUCACUACCAGAUGGACCUGCGUUGUAUUAGCUAGUUGGUGGGGUAACGGCUCACCAAGGCGACGAUACAUAGCCGACCUGAGAGGGUGAUCGGCCACACUGGGACUGAGACACGGCCCAGACUCCUACGGGAGGAAGCAGUAGGGAAUCUUCGGCAAUAGACGGAAGUCUGACCGAGCAACGCCGCGUGAGUGAAGAAGGUUUUCGGAUCGUAAAGCUCUGUUGUAAGAGAAGAACGAGUGUGAGAGUGGAAAGUUCACACUGUGACGGUAUCUUACCAGAAAGGGACGGCUAACUACGUG